GAAGCCUGAUGGGAGAAUUCAUUAAUGCCC
rnacentral:piRNA from 1 species